GGAGGAUUCGACUAGCGGCCUAUGUCGCACGCCUGGAACGCGUGUUGGGAGCAAUCCCUCAGGGGUUCAAAUCCCCUAUCCUCCGCCA
rnacentral:tRNA from 7 species